rnacentral:sRNA from 1 species
GCCUCUUCACCAAUGGAUGGAUAAUUAUAUUCUUCUAUGUUGAUGAUACUGUUGUAGUAUCACACCCUGAUGACAGAGAAGAGAAGGACCAGUUAAUCAAAGAUCUUAAAGAUACAUACGAAUUCCGACAGAUGGGAAACCUCAAAUGGUUCCUUAAUAUGAGAAUUACUAGGGACCGGAGCUCUAGAAAGUUAUGGCUCUGUCAAGAUGCUUAUAUUGACAAAUUGGUUAAUACUUAUCACCUUGCUCAUGCUCGCAAAGCAUCAACGCCCCUAUCCAGCAUUCCGCUAGCACCUUAUCAAGGAACCGCAUCGCCUGAGGAUACCCACUACUAUCAACGC